AUACGUAGGGAGCGAGCGUUGUCCGGAAUUACUGGGUGUAAAGGGUGCGUAGGCGGGACGGCAAGUCAGAUGUGAAAUACCGGGGCUCAACCCCGGGGCUGCAUUUGAAACUGUCGUUCUUGAGUGAGGUAGAGGUAAGCGGAAUUCCUAGUGUAGCGGUGAAAUGCGUAGAUAUUAGGAGGAACAUCGGUGGCGAAGGCGGCUUACUGGGCCUUUACUGACGCUGAGGCACGAAAGCGUGGGGAGCAAACAGGAUUAGAUACCCUGGUAGUCCACGCUGUAAACGAUGAUGACUAGGUGUGGGGGGACUGAACCCUUCCGUGCCGCAGUUAACACAAUAAGUAUUCCACCUGGGGAGUACGAUCGCAAGGUUGAAACUCAAAGGAAUUGACGGGG
rnacentral:rRNA from 1 species